AUACCUACCUGGCGUCAGGAUCCCGUGAUCAUGCAGGCGGUUCCCCCGGGGUGCGGCUACUCCAUUGCACUGCGGAGUGGUUGACCCUUGCGAUUAUUCGUAUAUUUCAUAAGUUUCACUUCUACCAUGUGUGACUUGCACACACACACACACAUU